UGAGGUUGAGCUUCAGCGUUACGUUGGCAGGUACGAACAGGUUGUCGAGAACAAUAUCUAAACAUGUUUUGGUGGCCGCUUCAACUUCAUCGAAUUGGGUUACUACGCACGGUUCUGCACUCGCGGGUGAAGCUUUGCGGUAAACGCGAAUGCAAUAAUUAAUGAUGGAAUCGCACUUUAUUGGUCUUAUCAAUUUACGCCACUUGAAAUCAUAUGUCAAUAAGGAAUGUGGAGGGUCGAUCGCAAAAAAAACAAUCUUGUUUGUUGCGAACUAAUAAGUGUUUAGAGUGUUGAGGCCUAAACAAGAUUGCUUUCGAAAAAUCGUCGGGGCAAGUUCGUAGCGCGUGGCGCGAAGCAGCUUUUUUUUUAUAAAAGAAAAGAGCUUCGCGGCUUCGUGUGGUAAAGGGACACAUUGUGUUUCUCUCGUGCUCCUGUGGACCACUAUGGAACUUUCGCAAAAUCGAUGUAAUUUAAUUGUGCAUGCACCCUGUAUAAAAUGUCCUUCACAUCUCGUCGAUCUUCAAAGUUACAGCGAACAUCGCUAAAUAUUAAAAUUUGCACAGAGAGUUGUAAGAGAAAGGAAGGAGGGAAGUGCGGAAGGUGAUUUUUAUGGUAGUAAAUAUGCGCAUGCGCAGUAUUCAUUAUGACACUACAACAGCUCAGUGAAAACUUGUCGUUUAAUUGUUUACCUUUCAUAUCAAAUAUUUUGGUUACAAAAUGCCACGGACUUGUAAAAAUUCCUCAGAUUGUUUUUGCUACAUUUGUGGGAAUACAUACUAAAAACACAGCGAUAUGUCAUGACCGACCUGGUUAAAACAGCUUAUAAGCUAUAUUUUGGAUUUUCUAUCGAUGAGCGAGAUAAAAGUCGGUUGCCAAAAGUGUGCUGCAAUAGCUGCUCAAGAACGUUGAGAGGUUGGCUUGAAGAAAGUCACACAAAUCCAUGCCGUUUUCAAUGCCAAUGAUUUGGAGUGAGCCUCCAAAUCAUGAGAAUGAUUGUUAUUUCUGUUACACGAGGAUUCUCGAAAAAAAAAUAAAGAUAGGAUUGUUUAUCCGAACGUCCUAUCUGCAAAGAGACCAAUUCCUCGUGAUAAAGACACUCCACCUCCAGUUCCACCAGUUAAUGAAAUAACUGACGAUAUUUAUUAGUUUUGUUAAUAUAAUUUAGGAUUUUUUACUGUAAAACUCAAGCCGCCACAUUUUUUUAUUUCCUUAUAAUAAUUUAUACUUUAAUAAUAUUGUUUUUUGAUGAAGUAAAUAUUAAAUUUAAAACCUA